GGGUCGCUGCCUCACCUGGGGGUGCCCCGGCCUUCACCCCACACCUGGGCCAGCAGGUUUUGGGAUCCUGACCUCACCUGGCCCUGCAGCUUCUGGGGCUCUGAACUCGCAAUUUUUGGGGUCCUGACCCCUCACCUGUCCCCCAGGUUUUGGGGCUCACCUGACCCCUCACCUGUCCCCCAGGUUUUGGGGCUCACCUGACCUCACCUGUGCAGGUUCUUGGGGCAGCAGCGCUGGCUCCGCCCCGGGGCCCGCUCGGAGCUGCCCCGGCUGCGGCACCUGCCCGUGGUGGGCAUCGACCUGAGCGGGACCCGCCUCACCUACAGGGGGCUCGACAACCUGGUGUCCCUGUCCCACCUGUCCCACCUGGACCUGUCUGACUGUCCCCACGUGUCCGACUGGCUCCUGGCCCGGCUCCACGUCUUCGGGGCCACCCUGCAGCACCUGGGGCUGGCCCGGUGUCCCCAGGUGAGCGAGCGGGGCCUGGCCACGCUGCACCACCUCAGGUGAGUCACC